CAUCAUCACUGUGAGUGGAAUAUACAAAACCUAUUUUCAUAGUAUAUGCUGAUUUUAUGAUAAGUAUUUAAUGCUUCGAUUAAAUGAUUUUCCGGUAAAUUAAUUUUUAUCUAUGUGUCGGUCUUUAUUGUUAUUGAGAAUGAGUUUGAUUAAUGAUUUUAUUAGCGUUUUUUAGUAAAGGCAUGAUAUUAGAAUUGAGCAGAUUUUGAGAUAUGUUGAAUAGAAAGAAAAUGAGAUUUCAUAUGAGAUUCUAUGUUUAUGUAUAUAUUAUUUUUGAAAUCAUUUGAAAUCAUUAGACAGUACCCUUCCCUCCAGAUACAGAGAAACAGAUAAUAUGAGAUCAGAAAAGAGAUACAGAUAAGAUGAGAUAGAGGCCUUUGGGGCCCGUCGGGACACACAUAGAGGCUUUGGGCCGUGUGUUCGGGCGCUUUUGCCUUUUGGGGGCUUAUGCAUGCACAGUACAGAUAUAUGAGAUAUGAGAUGAGAUCGUCCCCAUCUAUCCGUUGUGGCUCCGAGGCGUGACGUUACCCAGAUAGUACGUCAUUGCCCGUCCGUCGAGGUCCGGAUAUGAUCAGAUUAUUCCCUGGGUACUUGUUUGAUGACAGUUUUUAGUAUUCAGUAUUUGAUAUGAUGAGUAUUAUAUGAUUCCAUCGAUUUUAUGCAAAUAUAUGUAUUAUAGUGUUUCAAUGAACUGAUUUGCAUUAAAUGAGUUUGAGCAAGUUCUUAUGAUAUUUUGAGAAAUUGAUUUAUGAAAUUGAUUUGAGGAAGUGAUUUGAGAAAGAUUAAAUGAUUUUAAAUAAAUUUAUUAAAUUGUCAGCAACUACUAUCCACUCACUGAGCUCACUGAGUUUUAUACUCACCCCUCUUUUAUUCUAUUUCCCCCCCCCACAGGAGAUUUACAGGUACAUCAGUCAACCCAGUAGCGAACGUUAGUGUGAUAUUGUGGCCACGUGAUGGUGCUAGGAGUCGUGGAUUUAAUUAUUAUUAUAUUUGAGAUUUUUUGCAAGCUGUGUUUAUUUAUUAUUUUAUGUUAUUAAGGAUAAUCGAUGUAUUUUGAUAUGAGGAUGAUUUGGAUGAUGUUUGAUAUAUUGAUUUGAGAAUUGGUUAUGGAGGAUGGUUGGAUAUUAAAUUAUUUGGGAGUGUUGCUUUAUAAUUUGCAGGAUUGGAUAUGUUUUAUUUAUAAGGGAGACUCUGCCGAAAUUUUUAUAGAAUAGUUUCGAUUUUACGAGUUUAGAUAGACUCGCCCUGGGGAGUUGCGGGGCGGGUCGUUUCAGUUGGUAUCAGAGCAUGGUUUUAGAUUCUGUAGACUUUACGGUCGUAAAUAGAAUAAGUUUUGAUUAUUAAAGUCGGAUUUAAUGUUUUGUAGGCACCAUUAUGAUUCGUCGUAGCAGUCGACGUGGCCGUGGUCGUGGCCGUACUAGAUUAGUAGCUGGGUUGACUUCAGGAGAUGUACCUGCGGGGGAAAAUGAUCCCGUUGACGAGGGAAUAGUUGAGUCUUCGACGCACGAGGUUGUGCAACAGGCACCAGGAAAUGCUCCGAACAUUGAGCAGUCCAUUGAUAGAUUAGCUUAGAUUGUGACUACAGUGGUUCAGAAUCAGGCUCAGCCGCAUGUCGGUCAAGUGAACACUGUCGAGCGUGUUCGAAGUUUAGGGGCAAAGAGUUUUAAUGGUUCUGGUGAUCCACCUGAGGCAGAGUCGUGGCUUAUCAAGUUAGAACAUAUUUUUGAUGUGAUGAGAUGCUCAGAGGAGGAUAGACUUUCAUUUGCCACUUUUCUGCUCAAGGAUAGGGCUUAUCAUUGGUGGCAAACAGUAGAGCGAAGAUACCAAGGGCAUGCUGCGCUUACAUGGGCUAUAUUUCGUAAGGAAUUCUACGAUCAUUAUUUUCCGGUUGUGUAUCAGGAUAUUAAGCGGAGUGAAUUCCUUCGAUUGGUUCAAGGAGCUAUGUCAGUGGAAGAGUAUGAGAAGAAAUUUUUGGAUCUUUCUAGAUUUGCCAUUUCAGCAGUUGGUGAUGAGAGGGAGAGAUGUAAGCGUUUUGAAGAGGGUCUCCGAUUUGAGAUUCGUACGACUGUGACGGCAUCAUGGUACACUGAGUUCAUUGAGGUAGUUGAGGCAGCUAAGAGAGUAGAGCACAGUAUCUCUGAGGGACGUAGAGUUCAGACUCUGAAGCAGAAACGUAGCCAGAGUUGGACAGAGGGUGGCUCGAGCAGCAGGCCGCCGAAGAGAGGCGCGUAUACAAAUUACUCUGCUGGUGUGCAAAGGAAUCAGAGUAUGAGUAGCAGGGGAGAUCAGAGACAAUCCGCCAGUUACAGUUCGGCGCAGCCUUCAAUGGGGAGUAAUGUUAGGACUCAGGGGCAGUAUGACAGGAAUAGCGGAGGACCCCGUAGGAGUAUACAACAGACUCCUUGCCCUACGUGUGGUAGGAACCAUCAGGGCCAAUGCCGUAUCGGAGACAAUGUGUGUUAUUUAUGUGGACAACCUGGACAUAUUAAGAGAUUCUGCCCUACUUUAUCUCAGGGUGACAGUUCUGCUCGAGGGGCAGCCCCACAGUAUCAAUCUCAUGUUGGACCAGUUCAGGGUCAGAGGGGUAUGCAGACAGGGGGUUCUAUAUCGAGGAGUCAGACCACUUUUCCAAGUCAGAGAGGUCAACCUGGUCGACCUCGUACUCAGGCUCGAGUUUUUGCCUCGACACAGCAGGAGGCUCAUGCUACACCAGAAGUUAUUAUGGGUACAUUAUCUAUCUUUGGUCAUGAUGCUCAUAUUCUUAUUGAUCCUGGAUCCACGCAUUCUUUUGUUUCUCACACAUUUAGUAUGCAUCUAGAGAGAGAGCCUGAAUUGCUGGAUUAUGGUUUAGUUGUUAGUACACCUACCGGAGGGUCAUUACUUGCUGAAAAGGUGUAUCGAGAUAGCAUGAUUCGAUUGGGCGAGCAUGAAUUUAAGGCGAAUUUGAUUAUUCUAGACAUUCAAGAUUUUGAUGCCAUUUUGGGCAUGGAUUGGCUUGUGUCUCACCAUGCUACAGUGGAUUGUUUUAAAAAGGAAGUUGUGUUCAAUAAACCAGGAGAAACUGAGGUGAAAUUUUGUGGUGAGCGUAGAAUUUUACCCUCAUGUGUCAUAUCAGUCAUUGAUGCAAGACGCUUACUAAGGAAAGGUUGCUCAGCUUAUCUGGCAUACGUAAUAGCCACUGGAGUUCGGGAGUUGAGAUUGGAGGAUAUUCCAGUAGUCCAAGAGUUUUCAGAUGUAUUUCCAGAUGAACUUCCGGGGAUGCCACCUCAUAGAGAGAUUGAGUUUUCUAUUGAUUUAGUCCUUGGGACGGCUCCUAUAUCUAUAGCACCGUAUAGGAUGGCUCCAGCUGAACUAAAGGAACUUAAGAUUCAACUGCAAGAAUUGGUGGAUAAAGAGUUUAUUAGACCUAGUGUAUCUCCGUGGGGAGCUCCGGUGUUGUUUGUUAAGAAAAAGGAUGGUACUCUUAGACUCUGCAUUGACUAUAGGCAGUUGAAUAAAGUUACAGUGCGUAAUAAAUAUCCACUUCCACGCAUCGAUGACUUGUUUGAUCAACUUCAGGGAGCAAAGGUGUUUUCUAAGAUCGAUUUGCGCUCGGGAUAUCAUCAGCUUAGAAUUAAAGAGGCCGAUGUUCCUAAAACAGCAUUCAGAACUCGUUAUGGACAUUAUGAGUUUUUAGUGAUGCCAUUUGGGUUGACUAAUGCCCCAGCGGCUUUCAUGGACCUUAUGAAUAGGGUAUUUCGCCAUUAUCUGGAUCGAUUUGUGAUUGUGUUUAUCGACGAUAUUUUGGUGUAUUCUCGAAGUCAGGAGGAACAUGAGGAGCACUUGCGGACUGUUUUGCAGACUUUAAGACAAAAGCAAUUGUACACUAAGUUCAGCAAGUGUGAGUUCUGGUUAGAUAAAGUAGUAUUUCUAGGCCAUGUGAUAUCAGCUGAAGGAAUUUAUGUUGAUCCUCAAAAGAUCGAAGCAGUUGUAAAUUGGGAACGACCUACAAAUGUGACUGAAGUUCGAAGUUUUCUUGGAUUAGCUGGCUAUUAUCGGAGAUUUGUGGAAGGAUUCUCCAAGAUUGCUAUUCCUCUGACAAGGUUAACCAGAAAGAAUGCUAAGUUCCAGUGGAAUGAUGAUUGUGAAAAGGGUUUUCAAGAACUCAAGGCAUGCCUUACUUCAGCACCAGUUCUUACACUUCCAUCGGGUAAUGAAGGGUUUGUAGUAUACAGUGAUGCAUCCAGGCAAGGAUUGGGUUGUGUGCUAAUGCAGUAUGGGAAAGUAGUGGCUUAUGCUUCAAGACAACUUAAGAAGCAUGAACAAAAUUACCCAACUCAUGAUUUAGAGCUAGCAGCAGUGGUGUUUGCACUCAAGAUAUGGAGGCAUUACUUGUAUGGAGCAACAUGUCAGAUUUUUACUGAUCACAAGAGCUUGAAGUAUUUGUUUACUCAGAAGGAGUUGAAUUUGAGACAGAGGAGAUGGAUUGAGCUGAUUAAAGACUAUGAUUGUACCAUUUAUUUUCAUCCGGGCAAAGCGAAUGUGGUAGCUGAUGCGCUAAGCAGGAAGUCUUUUAGCUCUAUAGCUCACUUGCGAGGGACAUACAUGCCGUUAUUGAUUGAGUUGAGAUCUUUGGGAGUUGAAUUGGAAGUUGAUAAUUGCAGAGCUUUAAUAGCUAAUUUUCGAGUGAGGCCGACUUUGAUUGACAAAGUUCAUCAGAUGCAAGAUCAGGAUUUGCAGUUACUGAAGUUGAAAGAGGAUGUGCAAAAAGGCUUACGAACUAAUUUUGCAGUGAGAGAUGAUGGAGUUUUAGUUAUGGAUAAUCGACUUUGCGUACCCGACAUUAAGGAGUUGAAAAAGGAGAUCAUGGAAGAAGCUCAUUGUUCAGCUUAUGCUAUGCAUCCUGGUAGUACGAAGAUGUACCGUACCUUGAGAGAUCAUUACUGGUGGCAAGGUAUGAAGAGAGAGAUAGCUGAAUUUGUAUCUCGGUGUUUAGUUUGUCAGCAGAUUAAAGCUGAACAUCAGAGACCUGCAGGGUUUUCUCAACCGCUUCCUAUCCCUGAGUGGAAAUGGGAGCACAUCACCAUGGAUUUUGUAACAGGACUUCCACGUACUCAGAGUGGUCAUGAUAGUGUAUGGGUAGUUGUUGAUCGACUUACCAAAUCUACUCACUUUUUACCGUUCAAGACCACUUAUUCGAUGGACAAGUUGGGGAAUAUUUUUGUGGCUGAGAUAGUUCGACUUCACGGAGCACCUGUGUCUAUUGUUUCAGAUAGAGAUUCCCGAUUUACUUCUAAGUUCUGGACAAGUUUGCAAAAGGCUUUAGGCACCAAGUUGAACUUCAGUACAGUUUUUCACCCACAGACUGAUGGUCAGUCAGAGCGUACUAUUCAAACCCUGGAGGAUAUGUUACGAGCUUGUAUUUUGGAGUUUAGGGGUAGUUGGGACAUUUAUUUACCCUUGAUGGAGUUUGCUUAUAAUAAUAGUUAUCAAGCUAGUAUCGAGAUGGCACCUUAUGAGGCCUUGUAUGGCAGGAAAUGCAGAACUCCCGUAUGUUGGGAUGAGGUUGGAGAGCGGAAACUUUUUGGUCCCGAAUUGGUUCAAAAUACUAGUGAGAAGAUACAGCUUAUUCGGGAAAGAUUAAAGGCAGCCCAGAGCAGACAAAAGAGCUAUGCAGAUAAGCGUAGGCGGGAACUUGAGUUUGAAGUAGGUGAUAAGGUUUUCAUACGGAUAUCUCCUUGGAAAGGGGUACUUCGAUUUGGUAAGCGCGGGAAGUUGAGUCCACGUUACAUUGGACCAUAUGAGAUUGUGGAGCGUAUUGGUCCGUUGGCAUAUCGAUUAGCUCUACCACCUGAGUUAUCCAGAAUCCACGAUGUCUUUCAUGUUUCGAUGCUCUGGAAGUAUGUGUAUGAUCCUAGUCAUGUGUUGUCGAGACAACCAAUUGAGUUGAAAGAAGACUUGAGUUAUGAAGAAGAGCCCGUGGAAAUUCUAGAACAGAAGCACCAAGUUUUGCGUUCAAGAACCAUUCCGCUAGUAAAAGUGUUGUGGAGGAAUCACACAAGAGAAGAGGCUACUUGGGAACGUGAAGACUUAAUGCGAGCUCAAUACCCUCACUUAUUCUCAACAGAUGUGUAAAUUUCGAGGACGAAAUUUUUAUAAGAGGGGAGGAUUGUAACAUAUGCACUCCGAUUUUCUUAAUUAAGUGAGUGAUUUCAUUUUCCUCUUCGCUAUCAAUUUUUUUUAAUUUCGUCACGACAUUUUAUCGAGAAUAAUUGAGCGCGAUUACACGCGCCGAUGGCCGGAUUUUAUUUUCAUCACGGGUCCGAAUUGAGCUUAAUUUGUAUUAAGCUUAAAAAAAAAAAAAAAGGGCAGAAUUGUAUAACUGGAAAAGGGGGGAAACAGGUUUGUAUUUUUUUGAGAGAGAAUACCCGAGAGAGAGGGAGAGAGAGAGAGAGAGAGAGAGCUGGACUUGUUAACCCGAAAACCCGACCCAAUUCCGCGAUAUUGACCCGACGAGUUCUCCCGUUUCCGGCCACCUUACCGGCCGUGCUUGGUACCGAUCUGAAGCUUGGAAGCUGACCGUCGUAUCCCCGUGGUCCUCGUCGCCGGAAACUGGCCAGAACGUCGGCGAUUGGAGCUCGAAAGUCGCGGCCAAGAUCCUUUUCCGUCGCCGUUGAUUCCGCCGGGUUUGUGACGCGCCACCACUUGGAACUGGUUCUUCACAUCUUCAGCAACAAUUUCCGACCAACCACGAUCACCAGGGAGGCCAGAAAACCGCCGAACGAUCACCGGAAACUUGCGGAUCUUUGGAGCUUCGAUCCGCCGCCGGUAGCGCGCGUGGCGACUCACGGCCACCACCAUUGCACUCACCGAGGUCGGAACUAGCAGACCUAAGCUCCCCGUCAUCGUUGACUGAAGUCCGGUCACCGUUGACCGGCAGGGGCAAUUCGGUAAAUUCAUGAAACUUUGGGGUGAAUUUGUAAUUUUAUGUAAUCAGUGGACAUUUUGGUAAUUUUGAGUGAGAGCAGUGAAGUAAUUUAUGCUUUCGAGGGUAAUUCGGUAAUUUAAGACGUUAAGGACAUUUCGGUAAUUUUAUGCCCUGAGGGUAAUUUCAUAAUUUCGGACAAUGCGAUUAAUUUAUGUAAUCUGAAUUGAGGACAAUCUGGUAAUUGACGAAUAUGAGGAUAAUUUGGUAAAAUAAUGAAGUUUGAGGAUAAGUUGGUAAAAUAUUGAUGUUGGGGGUAUUUUGGUAAUUUUACUCAUGUGGGAAUAGUUUAUCGUUAAUAGGAUUCGAGAUUUAUUAUAUUAAAUUGGUUGUAUUUCUAUUUACAGAGAAUAAUUAUAGUGUUUCCGUGAUUAGGAGGAUCCGCAUCCGCGAACGAGAAUCAACCCGCGGACGUUGUUGAUACCGAGUCUAGACAUCAUCACUGUGAGUGGAAUAUACAAAACCUAUUUUCAUAGUAUAUGCUGAUUUUAUGAUAAGUAUUUAAUGCUUCGAUUAAAUGAUUUUCCGGUAAAUUAAUUUUUAUCUAUGUGUCGGUCUUUAUUGUUAUUGAGAAUGAGUUUGAUUAAUGAUUUUAUUAGCGUUUUUUAGUAAAGGCAUGAUAUUAGAAUUGAGCAGAUUUUGAGAUAUGUUGAAUAGAAAGAAAAUGAGAUUUCAUAUGAGAUUCUAUGUUUAUGUAUAUAUUAUUUUUGAAAUCAUUAGACAGUACCCUUCCCUCCAGAUACAGAGAAACAGAUAAUAUGAGAUGAGAAAAGAGAUACAGACAAGAGAUACAGAUAAGAUGAGAUAGAGGCCUUUGGGGCCCGUCGGGACACACAUAGAGGCUUUGGGCCGUGUGUUCGGGCGCUUUUGCCUUUUGGGGGCUUAUGCAUGCACAGUACAGAUAUAUGAGAUAUGAGAUGAGAUCGUCCCCAUCUAUCCGUUGUAGCUCCGGGGCGUGACGUUACCCAGAUAGUACGUCAUUGCCCGUCCGUCGAGAUCCGGAUAUGAUCAGAUUAUUCCCUGGGUACUUGUUUGAUGACAGUUUUUAGUAUUCAAUAUUUGAUAUGAUGAGUAUUAUAUGAUUCCAUCGAUUUUAUGCAAAUAUAUGUAUUAUAGUGUUUCAAUGAACUGAUUUGCAUUAAAUGAGUUUGAGCAAGUUCUUAUGAUAUUUUGAGAAAUUGAUUUAUGAAAUUGAUUUGAGGAAGUGAUUUGAGAAAGAUUAAAUGAUUUUAAAUAAAUUUAUUAAAUUGUCAGCAACUACUAUCCACUCACUGAGCUCACUGAGUUUUAUACUCACCCCUCUUUUAUUUUAUUUCCCCCCCCCACAAGAGAUUUACAGGUACAUCAGUCAACCCAGUAGCGAACGUUAGUGUGAUAUUGUGGCCACGUGAUGGUGCUAGGAGUCGUGGAUUUAAUUAUUAUUAUAUUUGAGAUUUUUGCGAGCUGUGUUUAU
rnacentral:lncRNA from 1 species